GCUACAGUCAGCCAACUGAACCAACAGGAGAGCUUUGUCCGCAAUUCCCAGGUGUAAGUCAUGGUGCAGAAUAUUAGAGACAUGGAAAUGUCUGUGCAAUACCGAAACGUCCUGUUUGCUAGUGUGGAUGUGGACGAUGCUCGGGAGUUGGCCCAAAUUUAUCACAUCAAAGCAAUGCCCACAUUUCAGAUGUUCAAGCAAGCCCAGAAGGUAACCCUAUUCUCAAGAAUCAAAAGAGCAAUUUGCUGUUAUAGAAGUGGAUCCCUGAGCGAGCCGAUUUUUGAACUUUGUGGAACUGAUGCUAAAAAACUGGAAGAAAAGAUUCGAGAACUAAUCAACUAUUUGAACCUGCCCCUUGGAACUCAGGGAAGGUCAUGGAGGCUGAAUGAAGCGUAUUUCCAACAAACAAGAAACGGAACACAGAAAGGCUUUUGUGCCCAGGAGGCUCACAGGAUCCUGCUCAGUUUCAAGCCUUUUGCAUCCAUCACCCUGUUUAACCUUUGCAACAAUCCUAGAAUAGAAGACACAAUCUAGUUAAAUUGAAACCGUGCAACUCAGAUUGGGAAUUGAACCCACGGGCCAGGACUCAAACCCAGCCAAAACCCAGAUUGGGACUUAAACCCAUGUUAACUGAGAUCGCACACCUGGCCUCAGAACUUAAUCAAUUUCAGGUUCUUGAUGUCUCAUUGCAGAAAUAAUUCAGUGAGAGACAAAGUGAUAGGUAAGAAGUGGAUUUAUUUAGAGAGAGAUACACUCCCCAGACAGAGUGUGGGCCAUCUCAGAAGGCGAGAGUGGCACCAGGGUACGGGGUUGUCAGUUUUUAUACGGGUGGAUAAUUUCAUAGGCUAAUGAGUGCGAGGAGUAUUCCAACUAUUUGGGGGAAGGGAUUGGGAUUUUCAGGAAUUGGGCCACUGCCCACUUUUUGACCCUUGCGGUUGGCCUUGGAACUGUCAUGGCGCCUGUGGGUAUGUCAUUUAGCUUGCUGAUGUGUUACAAUGUGCAUAUACUGAGGCUGAAGGUCUAGUGGAAAUCGACUCAUCUGCCAUCUUGGACCCAUUUGGUUCUAAUCAGUUUCUGUCAUGUCCUCGGGCUACGUCAUUCUUUUAAAGGUUGUGCCCUGCCCCCUUCCAUCCUGUUUCAAAAUGACUUGCCCAAAUUUUCCCAGAAGAAUCCAGUGCUUUGAAAUUUCUUUCAUCUCUUCUAGGGGAUUGAUAGGAAUUUCUUCUCCCUUCAGGAGCACUGCCCUGGCAUGUGGUGAAAUGUCUCAUUUACAUAUAUCUCAGUAACACAAUGUAAUCCAACUUCCUUUCCUGGGUCCUGUAAAGCACUGGGUUGCUGCAUUCUGAGAAAACAGGGAUUUGCAGUCUUGCCUCCAACAAUGACUAGUCCCUUUACCGGUCCCAAAUGUAUAUCCUCCUGCUGUGUGUUCAGGCCUUUCUGCAUCCACAGUAACUUUUCAUUUCAAUACUGACAGUGUAUUCUUUUAAAAGACAUUUGAAACUCAACCUAUAGGGCAUCAACAAGGCUCCUAAAUUGAUCCAGGUGACCACACAUGAAUAGCUGCGGCUGAGUCUGUGCACACACAGACAGUGACAACCAAGUCAGACCUGCCACCUGGUCCACUGUGAUUGUGAGAUGCCACUCCUUGUCAGGGGCGUCUCAAUUUCAAAGAUGUUAAAAUGUGAAAUAAUGUGCACCUGGAGUAGUCAAGCUCCUUGAUCUCACAAUUAAAUGUUAGCUCAAGAGCAAAAGGUUGGGGGCUUCCCUGGUGGCGCAGCGGCUGAGAGUCCGCCUGCCGAUGCAGGGGACACGGGUUCGUGCCCCGGUCCGGGAAGAUCCCACAUGCCGCGGAGCGGCUGGGCUCGUGAGCCAUGGCCACUGAGCCUGUGCUCCUCAACGGGAGAGGCCACAACAGUGAGAGGCCCGCGUACCGCCAAAAAAAAAGAAACACUAUCAGUGAUAUAGGAAGUGGGGAGAAGUACCUUCUCUUCGGGACAGGCUUAAAGGGCCCAGCUGCCUGAUGUUCUGAUGAAUCAAGCUACCACUGAAUUCUGAUGCAGGACUGAGCAGGCUGAAUCCCCAAGGGUCUGGCAAGGAGGAGGUACUGAUGUUUGGCAGGGAUUCUCAUUUGUCUGGGUGGAUCGAUGAGGUGAAAGUCUGCUUCAAGAAUCUUUUCAUAAUAACAGUUUCCAUAUUUCUAACGCUUACUACCUGCCAGGUCCUGUGUUAAGAGCCUUAAACACAUCAUCUCAUUUAACCUCUCAAUAAGACCUGAACUGCUUUAUGAGGGAAUAAACAGUGGAAAUGUGGUGAACAAAGAUUGCACCACCCCAGGGAAUGUCUGUCAAUAAUUAGAGGAAGAAGGAAAUCAUCUAAGAGUACUGCCUGGGUUAUACAAUCAUUUAAAAUAACAACAAUAAUAAGCAUUAGUCACUUUUAGAGGUUGCUAGGAUAUCAACUCACUAUUCUGAAAGUUGAUAAAAGGCAAGAAUUGAGCAUUUAUCUUGAUUUUCCUCUAUGACUGUAUUUCAGCAUAACCAAAUAGUUGAUGAGUAAGUUGUUCUUUACAGGAUAACUUCAGAUAAUACGUGCAGAAGGCAUGAUAGAAUUUAAAAGACCACCUUGCAACCCCUAAUGAAAGAAUGCAUCUAGACAACAAUCAUUGGUGGAUGUUAAAUCAUUGAGUUGAUGGGAAAUUUUUAACGGAUGGAUCAGACUGACAACUCUUAAACCUACUGAUCAUCUUAGCAUCACACAAAAAUGGAAAAGAAUGGAACAUGGCAUGCAUCAAUGUGAGGUAUAGGUAGUAUACAGCAAAAUAUAUAAAUUAUUCUUGCCAAAAUAAUUGAACCUGAAUCUAAUCAAGUCUCCAGACAUAGCUACAGGUCUAGAGAAAGUAUGGGAGGUAGAGGGAUAGAAAAACAAGUUAAACUCCACAAGAAGCAACUAGCCAAGUCCAGAAUGGAGGAAAUUCUGCAGGAGAAAUGACCAUAUGACUUCCACAAAUGAAUGGUCUGACAAAGGGGGUGGAGGGGAAUUGUUGUAGAUUAAAAGAGAGUUAAGAAAGCAACUGCUACUAAUUUUUUCAAUUUACAGCCUUUCGCAACCGUAACCUUCCCUGUGAAAAUUCUCUUUUCCAAGGUAACCUAGCCCACCUUGAAGCAGGACUCAACACUUCAUCCCAGCCUGCCUGCAGCAACAAAUACCUUCCACAACCCACAGUGAGCAAUAUAAACUUUACCAAAGAUUUUACUGAUGUGCUGGAGAGAGGCUUUCACUCCCCACUGGUUGCCAUCCUGCACAUGCUUCCUCCCAAAAAUCUUUCCCGUUGACUGCCCUCUGUUUGGUCUCUAGCUUUCUUCUAGAAUCCCAGAAUGCCAAAGUUAUUAUUCCCAUGAAGACUUGCUUUCAGCAAACAAAAGAAUGUUCAACCACAGCCAUUCAAUGGGAAAGUUAUAAAUUACAAAUAAUUUUUCCUAUCUCACAGCUAAUGCCACCAAUUCCUUAGACUGCUACACAAACAACGUAUUUUCCAUUUUUUCUCACUUUCCUAGACAAACAUUUGAAUUUCUUCCAGCUUAGGUAUAUCUGUCUUCAUGUGUGGAGCCCAGAACCCAAUGUAAAAUCCUGGCGUGAGCUGAAAAAAUAGAAAGGGGCCCUAAUCUCUGUCAUUCUAAUACGUUUACUGAUGGGGCCUAGAACCCCAAAAUUUUGUAUCGGGAUCGCUUCUCAUCAGUUAUUUAUGUUGAGAUUCCCGGCAGAUUCUUUUCACACAUGCUUCUGUUAAACUACAUCUUUCCCCCAUCCUACACUUGUGGCGCUAUUUUCAGACUCAAGGGUUAUGUACAAGUUCUCCCUAUUACAUAUAAUUUUAACAGACUAGUCUAUCAAAUUACCUUUUCUCCAUUAAUCAACAUUCCUGAUGAGUUCUACUGAUCACCACAUUAUUUUCUAAAUGUUCCCAAGUAAAAUAGUUGAGUGUCCUUCAAUUUUUCCAAGGAUCAUACCAUGCUCCUGUUCUAUAAUUUCUGUAACCUACCAUUUUUCUCUCCUGAAAUCAGAGACUGUGCAAGGGGUACAGGUGAUAUAUGCUUAAGAGUGUCACGUAUAAGGAGGGACCACAUACAAGGUAGAUACUGUAAAUUUGAGCAUUAAAUAUUGUAAAAAUUGUUCUGGCAGAAGGCCAUAAAGUGUCCUAUUCUUUAAAAAGUAUAUUGUUAUAAUUUUCCAACAGGUGGAAGCAAAGUAUCUUGAGGAAGAGUUGCCUUUUGCUAAGUCACACAAAGGCUCCAUAUGGGCCAGUGGUGGCUUGCUGAAAAUUGUGUUAACUCAUGCUAUAGACUAAACAUUUGUGUUCCCCCAAAAUUCUAUGUUGAAACCUAAUCCCCAAUAUGACGGUAUUUGGAGGCAAGGCUUCUGGGAGGUGAUUAGGUAAUGAGGGUAGAGCCUCAUGAAAGGGAUUAAUACCCUUAUAAAAGAGACUCCAGAGAGUUCUUUGUCCCCUUCGGCCAUGUGAGGACACCGUGAAAAUAGCCAUUUAUGAACUCGGAAGAGGGUCCUCACCAGACACUCAAUCUGCUGCCACCUUCAUCUUGGAUUCCCAGGCUCUAGAACGGUGAGAAAUAAUUUUUUCUUGUCUGUAAGCCACUCAGCCUGUGGUAUUUUGUUAUAGCUUCCCAAAUGGAGUAGGACAACUCAACUCCAAUCUGCUGGACAACACCUAUUUUCUAUAAUUACUCAUAGAUUAUUGACAACAGCUUCAUACAGCUCUAGCUCUUUGAAUCUCUGGAAUAUAGUUCAUCUGGGCCUGGUUCUCCCUGUUUCCUUAACCGGUAUUUGGUUGCAGUUCCCUUCUACAUGCUCUUUGUUCUACCCUUUCCAGAUGGAAUACCAUAUCCUUAAAAGAGAGAGGAUGGAGGAACAGAUCGGAAUCAUUCUGCCUUCUUUGUCCACAGCCGCAGGGCCAAGCUGUGACCCUAUCACUCUCCUCCUUUUAUGCACCCUGGGGUCUCCUCCUCCCAAGCUUCCUGUCCCCACUCUCCUCCCAAGUGUGGUCCAGUAUUAUUUGCCCAUUGUCCGGGGCUUCCUCUCUGAUCCCAUGUCACUGAUAACUGCCAUUGAUUUAGCUUCUGUUCUCACACCUGCCUCUCUGCUACUUGUUCUCAUCAACUUAAUGUGAUUAUCAAGUUCUUCCUCCUUUUUUGAACCAAUGAUCUCUCUUACUGGGUCCACUUUCCUUUCCCUACAUCACCAAAGUAUAAAUCCUUUCUG